rnacentral:rRNA from 1 species
GAUGGGGAUUCUUCCAUUAAGGUUGUUCGGCGGGUAACGGUCCAACCGAAACCCGCGAUCGGUAGGGGUUCUGGAGAGGAAGGGUCCCCCACACUGGAACUGGAGAACACUGGUCCAGAACUCCUCACCGGGAGGCAAGCAGUUGAGGAAAUAUUGGUCACUGGACCGGUAAGUCUGAACCAGCCAAGUUCGCCGUUGCGGGAUGAAGGCCCUAUUGGGUCGUAAACCGCUUUGGUCGGGGAGCAACGUGCGGGACGUGUCCUGCAGUGAGCGUACCCGAAGAACAAGCAUCGGCUAACUCCGUGCCAGCAGCCGCGGUAAUACGGAGGAUGCGAGCGUUAUCCGGAUUCAUUGGGUUUAAAGGGUGCGCAGGCGGCACAUCAAGUCAGCGGUCAAACUGCGGCGCUCAACGCCGUAUCGCCGUUGAAACUGAUGAGCUUGAGUGCGUGCGAGGGAGGCGGAAUGCGCAGUGUAGCGGUGAAAUGCAUAGAUAUUGCGCAGAACUCCGAUUGCGAAGGCAGCUUCCCAGCGCGCCACUGACGCUCAUGCCCGAAAGCGCGGGUAUCGAACAGGAUUAGAUACCCUGGUAGUCCGCGCGGUAAACGAUGGAUGCCCGCUGUGCGGCCUUUAGUGGUUGCGCGGCCAAGCGAAAGCGUUAAGCAUCCCACCUGGGGAGUACGCCGGCAACGGUGAGACUCAAAGGAAUUGACGGGGGCCCGCACAAGCGGAGGAACAUGUGGUUUAAUUCGAUGAUACGCGAGGAACCUUACCCGGGCUUGAAUUGCAGCUGCAUGGGGCAGAGAUGUCCCUUCCCUUCGGGGCUGCUGUGAAGGUGCUGCAUGGUUGUCGUCAGCUCGUGCCGUGAGGUGUCGGCUUAAGUGCCAUAACGAGCGCAACCCCCCUCCCCGGUUGCCAUCGGGUAAUGCCGGGCACUCCGAGGACACUGCCACCGCAAGGUGUGAGGAAGGUGGGGAUUGACGUCAAAUCAGCACGGCCCUUACGUCCGGGGCUACACACGUGUUACAAUGGCAGGCACAGAGAGCUGGCGCGUCGCAAGACGCGUCGAAUCCCUUUAAAUCCUGCCUCAGUUCGGGACUGGGGGUCUGCAAACCCGACCCCACGAAGCUGGAUUCGCUAGUAAUCGCGCAUCAGCCAUGGCGCGGUGAAUACGUUCCCGGGCUUGUACACACCGCCCGUCAAGCCAUGAGAGCCGGGGGCGCCUGAAGUCCGUGACCGCAAGGUCGGC